rnacentral:rRNA from 1 species
AUUGAACGCUGGCGGCAGGCCUAACACAUGCAAGUCGAACGAGUGGCGGACGGGUGAGUAAUGUCUGGGAAACUGCCUGAUGGAGGGGGCUAACUACUGGAAACGGUAGCUAAUACCGCAUACCCUCAGAUGUGCCCUGAUGGGAUUAGCUGGUUGGUGGGGGAACGGCUCACCAAGGCGACGAUCCCUAGCUGGUCUGAGAGGAUGACCAGCCACAAUGGAACUGAAGAACGGUCCAGACUCCUACGGGAGGCAGCAGUGGGGAAUAUUGCACAAUGGGCGCAAGCCUGAUGAAGCCAUGCCGCGUGGAUGAAGAAGGCCUUCGGGUUGUAAAGUACUUUCAGCGGGGAGGCGUUACCCGCAGAAGAAGCACCGGCUAACUCCGUGCCAGCAGCCGAGGUAAUAC